AGUGAACGCUGGCGGUAGGCCUAACACAUGCAAGUCGAACGGCAGCACAGGAGAGCUUGCUCUCUGGGUGGCGAGUGACGGACGGGUGAGGAAUACAUCGGAAUCUACUCUGUCGUGGGGGAUAACGUAGGGAAACUUACGCUAAUACCGCAUACGACCUACGGGUGAAAGCAGGGGACCUUCGGGCCUUGCGCGAUUGAAUGAGCCGAUGUCGGAUUAGCUAGUUGGCGGGGUAAAGGCCCACCAAGGCGACGAUCCGUAGCUGGUCUGAGAGGAUGAUCAGCCACACUGGAACGGAGACACGGUCCAGACUCCUACGGGAGGCAGCAGUGGGGAAUAUUGGACAAUGGGCGCAAGCCUGAUCCAGCCAUACCGCGUGGGUGAAGAAGGCCUUCGGGUUGUAAAGCCCUUUUGUUGGGAAAGAAAUCCAGCUGGCUAAUACCCGGUUGGGAUGACGGUACCCAAAGAAUAAGCACCGGCUAACUUCGUGCCAGCAGCCGCAGUAA
rnacentral:rRNA from 1 species